rnacentral:rRNA from 1 species
CUACACAUGCAGUCGAACGAAGUAGCAAUACUUAGUGGCGAACGGGUGAGUAUAAUGUGGGUAUCUGCCUUUUGGUUUGGAAUAACACGGGGAAACUUGUGCUAAUACCGGAUAAGCCUUCACAGGGAAAGUUUUAACGCCAAAAGAUGAGCCCGCACUUGAUUAGCUAGUUGGUAAGGUAAUAGCUUACCAAGGCUACGAUCAAUAGCUGAUCUGAGAGGAUGAUCAGCCACAUUGGGACUGAGACACGGCCCAAACUCCUACGGGAGGCAGCAGUGGGGAAUCUUGCACAAUGGGGGAAACCCUGAUGCAGCGAUGCCGCGUGAGUGAAGAAGGCCUUUGGGUUGUAAAACUCUUUCGUCGGGGAAGAAAAUGACUGUACCCGAAUAAGAAGGUCCGGCUAACUUCGUGCCAGCAGCCGCGGUAAUACGAAGGGACCUAGCGUAGUUCGGAAUUACUGGGCUUAAAGAGCUCGUAGGUGGUUAGAAAAGUUGGUGGUGAAAUCCCAAGGCUUAACCUUGGAACUGCCACCAAAACUUUUUGACUAGAGUAUGAUAGAGGAAAGUGGAAUUUCUAGUGUAGAGGUGAAAUUCGUAGAUAUUAGAAAGAACACCGAUNGCGAAGGCAGCUUUCUGGAUCAUUACUGACACUGAGGAGCGAAAGCAUGGGUAGCGAAGAGGAUUAGAUACCCUCGUAGUCCAUGCCGUAAACGAUGUGUGCUAGACGUUGGAAAUUUAAUUUUCAGUGUCGCAGCAAAAGCGUUAAGCACACCGCCUGGGGAGUACGACCGCAAGGUUAAAACUCAAAUGAAUUGACGGGGACCCGCACAAGUAGUGGAGCAUGUGGUUUAAUUCGAAGAUACGCGCAGAACCUUACCAACACUUGACAUGUUCGUCGCGACUCUAGAGAUUAGAGUCUUCGGUUCGGCCGGACGAAACACAGGUGCUGCAUGGCUGUCGUCAGCUCGUGUCGUGAGAUGUUGGGUUAAGUCCCGCAACGAGCGCAACCCCUACUUUAGUUGCUACCAUUUAGUUGGGC